rnacentral:antisense_RNA from 1 species
AGAGAGGCUUCCAUGACGGCAACGUUUGGGGGCCUUUUUCUUUUUGC